rnacentral:tRNA from 1 species
GCCUUCGUGGUGUAGCGGUCAGCACACUCGAUGCGUAUUCAAGAGGUCCCAGGUUCGAUUCCAAGCGAGGGCA